rnacentral:rRNA from 1 species
GAUGAACGCUGGCGGCGUGCCUAAUACAUGCAAGUCGAGCGAACGGACGAGAAGCUUGCUUUUCUGAUGUUAGCGGCGGACGGGUGAGUAACACGUGGAUAACCUACCUAUAAGACUGGGAUAACUUCGGGAAACAGGAGCUAAUACCGGAUAAUAUUUUGAACCGCAUGGUUCAAAAGUGAAAGACGGUCUUGCUGUCACUUAUAGAUGGAUCCGCGCUGCAUUAGCUAGUUGGUAAGGUAACGGCUUACCAAGGCAACGAUGCAUAGCCGACCUGAGAGGGUGAUCGGCCACACUGGAACUGAGACGCGGUCCAGACUCCUACGGGGGGAAGCAGUAGGGAAUCUUCCGGAAUGGGCGAAGGCCUGACGGAGCAACGCCGCGUGAGUGAUGAAGGUCUUCGGAUCGUAAAACUCUGUUAUUAGGGAAGAACAUAUGUGUAAGUAACUGUGCACAUCUUGACGGUACCUAAUCAGAAAGCCACGGCUAACUACGUG